AGAAUCAACGCUGGCGGCGUGCCUAACACAUGCAAGUCGCACGAGAAAGGGGAGCAAUCCCUGAGUAAAGUGGCGCACGGGUGAGUAACACGUGAAUAAUCUACCUCCGAGUGGGGAAUAACUGAGAGAAAUCUUAGCUAAUACCGCAUAACACUUACGAGUCAAAGCAGCAAUGCGCUUGGAGAGGAGUUCGCUGCCGAUUAGCUAGUUGGCGGGGUAAUGGCCCACCAAGGCGAUGAUCGGUA
rnacentral:rRNA from 1 species